UCGUGUUGUGAAAUGUUGGGUUAAGUCCCGCAACGAGCGCAACCCUUAUCCUUUGUUGCCAGCGAUUAGGUCGGGAACUCAAAGGAGACUGCCGGUGAUAAACCGGAGGAAGGUGGGGAUGACGUCAAGUCAUCAUGGCCCUUACGAGUAGGGCUACACACGUGCUACAAUGGCGUAUACAGAGGGAAGCGAGAGUGCGAGCUGGAGCGAAUCUCACAAAGUACGUCUAAGUCCGGAUUGGAGUCUGCAACUCGACUCCA
rnacentral:rRNA from 1 species